UUCUCUAUUUUUCUCCUUUUGAUUUUAUGUUUUUUGCACUGUUUGAUAUUUAUCUGUUUGGUUGCCUAGAGACGAUGGGAAGGCGAAAGCUUGAAACUUUAGAGUAGUUUUUUUUUUUCUGGGUAUGAAUAACAUAAGUAGGAUUUGUUCCGGCACUGUAAAGGUUGUGGCUCUGAAAUAUUGUUCUGUUUAUUUGGAAUCUAUGGGGCACUUGCAUAUUUUUCAUUUGCAAACCAAUUCCAAUGGGUUUUUGUUGAACAAUUCCAAUUAUUGAUUAAAUAAACGGAAUCACUUAUGAUAGAUUGAAUAACUUUUACCUUUGUUCUAGAAAAUGGUUGGUUUAGAAAAGGUUUAAAAUGAUGUCAGGUUAAUGGCUUAAUCCAAGCAUUAUGUUAAGUCACGGGGUGAGCGUUGGAAAACAGAUAAGAAAUCAAUCGUUUAUAGGCUCAUACAUUUAGGUAAUGUUGAAAGGAAAUAUCAUAAGCCUAAGAUAUAUAAUUUUUUUUUUCCUGACAUAAAACUUUAGUAGGUUGGGCUAGGUGAAGCUGUUGGUGAUGUCAAUUUUCAUUUUGUUUCGUGAUACAGGUUUUUAUUUCCACAAUCCCAAAUUGUUAAAUGUAGCAUUACUUCACAGACUAUUCUCUAGACAAUCCAUAUGAGACAAAUAGCCUUUCUUACUCUAGGAUUAGGUAUGCUUUCUCUUUUGAUCUUUUUUGAAAAUACUUGUUACACCAUUUUUUGCCUAAGAAAGUAACAUGCUUUCAGAAAUUUCCAGAAGUUUGAAAAUAUCUGGAUGCAUAAGUUAUCAGAAACUAAUUGGCAAUAUAAAAACAUGGGGAGGUGUGACAAGGGUUUUGUUUGUGGCCCUGGUUUGAGGCUUGGGGCAAUGGGUUUUGCUUGUGGCCCUGGUUUGAGGCUUGGGGCAAUGGGUUUUACUUUUAAUACUUAAA